GACGCCGCGUGAUUGAUGAAGUGCUUCGGUACGUAAAGAUCUUUUAUCANGGGACGAAGUUUAUUGACGGUACCUGAUGAAUAAGGGGCUCCUAACUCUGUGCCAGCAGGAGCGGUAAUACAGAGGCCCCAAGCAUUACCCGGAAUCACUGGGCGUAAAGGGUGUCAAGGCGGCUUUAUUAGUCUCCCGUAAAAUCCGUGGGCUUAACCUACGGCCGGCGGGGGAAACGGUAAAGCUCGAGGGCGCGAGAGGUGCACGGAACUCAUGGUGGAGGGGUGAAAUCCGUUGAUAUCAUGGGGAACACCAAAUGCGAAGGCAGUGCACUGGCGCGUUUCUGACGCUCACACACGAAAGCCAGGGUAGCGAACGGGAUUAGAUACCCCGGUAGUCCUGGCCCUCAACGUUGCUCGCUCGUUCUACGGAGUAUCGACCCUCUGUGGGACUAAGCUAACGCGGUAAGCGAGCCGCCUGNGUAGUACGAUCGCAAGAUUAAAACUCAAAGGAAUAGACGGGGACUCGCACAAGCGGUGGAUUAUGUGGCUUAAUUCGUCGACAAACGAAAGAACCUUACCAAGGUUAAGAAUCCAACUGCAUCCAACCCGAAAAGGAUGGAGCUUCGACGGUGUGGACCGGUGAUGCAUGGUCGCGCCAGUCCGGGUUGACUGUCCCUUCAGUGGGAACGAAGCACCCCCGUGCUGUGCUUAUGGCCGGAAAUGGCCCACGCGAAGAGGGGGGUGGCCACAAGUGUCCUGACCUGGGGCGCAAAGGGGGCAA
rnacentral:rRNA from 1 species